CGGCAGACGCCCCUGUGCCACUCGAGAGCCACACUCAGCUUUGGAGUGAAAAGGAGUGUUCUGAUUGGAGGAAGGUGCUGAGAUGUGUUGUUGCCACGGUCAAACUGCUGUCUUCUUUGGGACUACCUCUAAGAGGACAUGAUGAGUCAUCAUUGCCAAAUCAAAAAGCUGCAUGUGUUUCAAUGAUCACAGGAUCUUCUCCUUCCCAGAGGCUAGUGAA